rnacentral:rRNA from 1 species
CAGUAGCCGCGGUAAUACGUAGGUGGCAAGCGUUGUCCGGAAUUAUAGGGCAUAAAGGGCUCGCAGGCGGUUUCUUAAGUCUGAUGUGAAAGCCCCCGGCUCAACCGGGGAGGGUCAUUGGAAACUGGGAAACUUGAGUGCAGAAGAGGAGAGUGGAAUUCCACGUGUAGCGGUGAGAUGCGUAGAGAUGUGGAGGAACACCAGUGGCGAAGGCGACUCUCUGGUCUGUAACUGACGCUGAGGAGCGAAAGCGUGGGGAGCGAACAGGAUUAGAUACCCCUGUAGUCCCUGUCUCUUAUAA